GUGGAGGUGUCCCUCCCGACAAUGGCACUCAAAUUCUCUCAUUUUCUCAUGCCCUCUCUGUCACAUUCGUAGCUCGAUCUCCUUCUUCUGGGACUUAGCGUUCUGUGCAUGCGGUUUUUGCAACGGUCAUUUCGUGCCGCUUCGAUCUCAUCACCUUCUUUCCCCUCCCACCCCUCUUUUUGAUCCUCGCUUUGGGGCUUGCAAAUUUUUGACAUGUCAAAUGAGAGUGAAGCUAAAAUGUAAACAACAAGUGUUCGCGUGUGCCGUGAUUUUAAUAAACAUAAAAUCAACCACGGAAGUAUGAUUUAGUUGUGGUGGAAGCGAAAAAAAAAUGCUUGGAGCAUGGAAUAAAACCGGAUGAAAUUUCUAGCCUUCACGCACGAUGCCGACGCUGAGGUAAGGUGUGCUUGUCUUUAAUUUCGAUGAUUGUUUCAUUCGAAUUGCACACAACAACCACCCACAAUCACAGCUGUAAAAGUAACACGGAUAGGUAGCAAGGAAAUCAAGCUUGUACACAGAAAUCUACACAAAAACUGGGUUUUAUAAGCGCACGAAAAGCGACGCGGCUAUCUUUGAAUAAAAAGUAAACAAAAGAGUUUCGUUUUAAU